rnacentral:rRNA from 1 species
CACGUAGUUAGCCGUGGCUUAUUCGUCAGGUACCGUCACUUGCUUCAUCCCUGACAAAAGAAGUUUACAACCCGAAAGCCUUCUUCCUUCACGCGGCGUUGCUGGGUCAGGCUUGCGCCCAUUGCCCAAUAUUCCCCACUGCUGCCUCCCGUAGGAGUCUGGGCCGUGUCUCAGUCCCAAUGUGGCCGGCCAACCUCUCAGUCCGGCUACUGAUCGUCGCCUUGGUGGGCCGUUGCCCCACAACUAGCUAAUCAGACGCGAGUCCAUCCCAGAGCGAUAAAUCUUUGGCAGUCAGAGCCAUGCGACCCAACUGCAUCAUGCGGUAUUAGCAGCUGUUCCAGCUGUUAUUCCCACCUCCACGGGCGAGGUUACGUUCACGCGGUUACUUCACCCGUCCGCCCGACCUAGGUAACCUCCAUCCACUUGGUACGAAUCUCCUGUCAAGGACACCCCGUUCGACUUGCAUGUGUUAAGCACGCCGCCAGCGUUCAUCCUCGAGCCAAC